GGCGAACGGGUGAGUAACACGUGGGUGAUCUGCCCUGCACUUCGGGAUAAGCCUGGGAAACUGGGUCUAAUACCGGAUAGGACGAUGGUUUGGAUGCCAUUGUGGAAAGUUUUUCGGUGUGGGAUGGGCUCGCGGCCUAUCAGCUUGUUGGUGGGGUAAUGGCCUACCAAGGCGUCGACAGGUAGCCGGCCUGAGAGGGUGUACGGCCACAUUGGGACUGAGAUACGGCCCAG
rnacentral:rRNA from 1 species